GGGAUUGUGGCUCAGCAGUAGAGUGCUCACCUAGCAAGGGUGGGAUCUGGGUUCGAUUCUCAGCACCACCU
rfam:Ictidomys tridecemlineatus contig081974, whole genome shotgun sequence.